AUGUUUCUUAAGCAUGUGGGGGUCCAACACGUGCAUGAGAGAUCUAGUCGUAGCGACCAUGAGGUAGAACAGGAAGCGCAGAAGAGGGGAACAGACGAGCUUCAGGCCCGUGUUGAAACCUUGACCAAUCAGUUAAAGGAAUCAGAAGAAGCAAGGAUCAGGCAAGAAGAAGCAAGGACCAAGCAAGAAGAGGAGAACAUGAAAAAGCAAUAG
rnacentral:rRNA from 1 species